UGCAAGGGCACUCUGUGUUAUCCAUUCUCAAUAUGAUAAUUACAAUUUGUUACCUUGCUAAAGUAAUUCAACUGAACCCUAUUCCUUACAGCUAGCAUGUCGCUGUAGGAUCAUAGCAGUUCGAUACAUUUAU